GAUGAACGCUGGCGGCGUGCUUAACACAUGCAAGUCGAACGAUGAAGCCCAGCUUGCUGGGUGGAUUAGUGGCGAACGGGUGAGUAACACGUGAGUAACCUGCCCUUAACUCUGGGAUAAGCCUGGGAAACUGGGUCUAAUACCGGAUAGGAGCGUCCACCGCAUGGUGGGUGUUGGAAAGAUUUAUCGGUUUUGGAUGGACUCGCGGCCUAUCAGCUUGUUGGUGAGGUAAUGGCUCACCAAGGCGACGACGGGUAGCCGGCCUGAGAGGGUGACCGGCCACACUGGGACUGAGACACGGCCCAGACUCCUACGGGAGGCAGCAGUGGGGAAUAUUGCACAAUGGGCGAAAGCCUGAUGCAUCGACGCCGCGUGAGGGAUGACGGCCUUCGGGUUGUAAACCUCUUUCAGUAGGGAAGAAGCGAAAGUGACGGUACCUGCAGAAGAAGCACCGGCUAACUACGU
rnacentral:rRNA from 1 species